UCGAUAGGUAGUGGUUAUCACUCCAGAUUUUGACUUGCAUCAAAUAUUCUGGUAACCCCAGUUCGAACCUGGGUGCGAC